rnacentral:rRNA from 1 species
AGUGAACGCUGGCGGUAGGCCUAACACAUGCGAGUCGAACGGCAGCACAGUAAGAGCUUGCUCUUACGGGUGGCGAGUGGCGGACGGGUGAGGAAUACAUCGGAAUCUACUUUUUCGUGGGGGAUAACGUAGGGAAACUUACGCUAAUACCGCAUACGACCUACGGGUGAAAGCAGGGGAUCUUCGGACCUUGCGCGAUUGAAUGAGCCGAUGUCGGAUUAGCUAGUUGGCGGGGUAAAGGCCCACCAAGGCGACGAUCCGUAGCUGGUCUGAGAGGAUGAUCAGCCACACUGGAACUGAGACACGGUCCAGACUCCUACGGGAGGCAGCGGUGGGGAAUAUUGGGCGAUGGGCGCGAGCCUGAUCCAGCCAUACCGCGUGAGUGAAGAAGGCCUUCGGGUUGUAGAGCCCUUUUGUUGGGAAAGAAAAGCAGCAGGUUAAUCCCCCGCUGUUCUGACGGUACCCAAAGAAUAAGCACCGGCUAACUUCGUG